rnacentral:lncRNA from 1 species
AUCCACUUGAGGGAGGGAUGCCAGGUUCAGAGCCAGUUUCCAGGGAGAUAAUGCUGAGUCCUCUGUGACAAGCUAAUAUAUCAUUGAGCAGAGAUGGGAGAAGGCAAAAAGAUGCUCUUCAUGUCGGCAUUCAGGCCGACUGAUGCUACAAGGGACUGAGAAAAUAACUUGCAAGUUCAACUGCUGUGGACAGCAGAGUUAUGAUGUAGAAUGGAACUUCAAGAAUGGAUGUCCAGUAUUCAUCUUUGAAAGGAAUAUUACUGGCUUGCCAAAUUAG